rnacentral:rRNA from 1 species
AUCUCUGUAGAGUCUGCAUAUCAAUAAGCGGAGGAAAAGGAGCCAAGACCCUGCUUCUGAGCGGCCUCAUCGGAGGACUAUAUGACUUCAUCGUAUCUACAUUCGGACUCUGGGGCGAGACUCUUACGACCAAGAUCCUUCCGUGGGGCGCCGCAAUAGCCGACAAGGCCAAGGUGCUUCUCAAGGUCAACACCGGUGCUGCAGUCCUCGGUCUCGGAUAUAUAGUAGGUCUCAAAUAUGCAUUCAUAAUCUGCUGCGGAAGCUUCCUGGUAUGGCUCGUGAUCAUCCCGUUGAUGAACCUCAUCUGGGGCGGACAGGUGAUCGACCUUAUGAAUUCCGGCAUCACCCAGACUAUCGGUGAUAUGUCCGCAGACCAGAUAUUCAAGGAAUAUGCAAGGCACAUCGGCAUCGGAGGCAUCGCCACAGCCGGCAUCGUCGGCAUAGUGAAGUCAUUCGGCGUGAUCAGAUCGGCCGUGGGACUUGCCGCAAACGAGUUCAAGAGGAAGAAGACCGGCGAAGAGGCAGAAGUCAUCAGAACCCAGAGAGAUAUCUCUAUGAAGAUCAUCGUGAUAGGCAUCGCCGUCACACUUCUCGCCGUAUUCGGAUUCUUCCUCUUCGGAGCGGUCGACAACAUAUGGCACGCAGUGGUUGGUCUGCUCAUAGUCGGAAUCAUCGCAUUCCUUUUCACGACAGUUGCAGCCAAUGCCAUCGCCAUCGUCGGAUCAAACCCUGUAAGCGGUAUGACCCUUAUGACCCUCAUCCUCGCAUCCCUCAUUAUGGUGGCCGUGGGUCUGAACGGCACUGCAGGUAUGACAGCAGCCCUCAUCAUCGGAGGAGUGGUAUGUACAGCACUGUCCGUUGCAGGAGCAUUCAUCACAGACCUGAAGAUCGGAUAUUGGAUCGGAUCGACUCCAAAGAAGCAGGAAAGCUGGAAAUUCCUCGGUACCCUCGUGGCAGCUGCGAUAGUCGGCGGCGUGAUGCUCGUACUCAACAAGACAUACGGAUUCACCGGUGAAGGUGCCCUCGUAGCCCCUCAGGCAAAUGCUAUGGCUGCCGUGAUCGAGCCUAUGAUGAACGGAGGAAGCGCUCCUUGGCUUCUGUACGGCAUCGGAGCUGUCAUAGCCCUCGCACUCACAUUCUUCAAGGUACCGGCUCUGCCGUUCGCCCUCGGAAUGUUCAUACCUAUCGACCUCAAUAUACCUACGCUUAGGAUGUUGAUCUACAGAGCGAGAGU